rnacentral:rRNA from 1 species
UUCGCAAUGCCCGAAAGGGUGACGAAGCGACGCCGCGUGUGGGAAGAAGGCCUUCGGGUUGUAAACCACUGUCGGGAGUUAGGAAAUGUGAGGGUGCUAAUAGUAUCCUUACUUGACUAAGGCUCCGGAGGAAGCCACGGCUAACUCUGUGCCAGCAGCCGCGGUAAUACAGAGGCGGCAAGCGUUGUUCGGAAUUAUUGGGCGUAAAGAGCACGUAGGCGGCCUUGUAAGUCAGUUGUGAAAGCCUUCUGCUUAACGGAAGAACGGCAGCUGAUACUGCAAGGCUAGAGUGCGGAAGGGGAGAGUGGAACUUCUGGUGGGGCGGUGAAAUGCGUAGAUAUCAGAAGGAACACCGGCGGCGAAGGCGACUCUCUGGUCCGUAACUGACGCUGAGUGUGCGAAAGCUAGGGGAGCAAACGGGAUUAGAUACCCCGGUAGUCCUAGCCGUAAAC